GGGGCUGUAGCUCAGAUGGGAGAGCGCCUGCCUUGCACGCAGGAGGUCAGCGGUUCGAUCCCGCUUAGCUCCACCA
rnacentral:tRNA from 1 species